rnacentral:rRNA from 1 species
AUUGAACGCUGGCGGCAGGCCUAACACAUGCAAGUCGAGCGAGCGGUGGACGGGUGAGUAAUGUCUGGGAAACUGCCUGAUGGAGGGGGAUAACUACUGGAAACGGUAGCUAAUACCGCAUACCAUCAGAUGUGCCCAGAUGGGAUUAGCAUGUAGGGGGGGUAACGGCUGACCUAGGAGACCAUCCCUAGCUGGUCUGAGAGGAUGACCAGCCACACUGGAACUGAGACACGGUCCAGACUCCUACGGGAGGCAGCAGUGGGGAAUAUUGCACAAUGGGCGCAAGCCUGAUGCAGCCAUGCCGCGUGUGUGAAGAAGGCUUUCGGGGUGUAAAGCACUUUCAGCGAGGAGGCGUUACCCGCAGAAGAAGCACCGGCUAACUCCGUGCCAGCAGCCGCGGUAAUUC